GAUGAACGCUGGCGGCGUGCCUAAUACAUGCAAGUCGAGCGAACGGACGAGAAGCUUGCUUCUCUGAUGUUAGCGGCGGACGGGUGAGUAACACGUGGAUAACCUACCUAUAAGACUGGGAUAACUUCGGGAAACCGUAGCUAAUACCGGAUAAUAUUUUGAACCGCAUGGUUCAAAAGUGAAAGACGGUCUUGCUGUCACUUAUAGAUGGAUCCGCGCUGCAUUAGCUAGUUGGUAAGGUAACGGCUUACCAAGGCAACGAUGCAUAGCCGACCUGAGAGGGUGAUCGGCCACACUGGAACUGAGACACGGUCCAGACUCCUACGGGAGGCAGCAGUAGGGAAUCUUCCGCAAUGGGCGAAAGCCUGACGGAGCAACGCCGCGUGAGUGAUGAAGGUCUUCGGAUCGUAAAACUCUGUUAUUAGGGAAGAACAUAUGUGUAAGUAACUGUGCACAUCUUGACGGUACCUAAUCAGAAAGCCACGGCUAACUACGUGCCAGCAGCCGCGGUAAUACGUAGGUGGCAAGCGUUAUCCGGAAUUAUUGGGCGUAAAGCGCGCGUAGGCGGUUUUUUAAGUCUGAUGUGAAAGCCCACGGCUCAACCGUGGAGGGUCAUUGGAAACUGGAAAACUUGAGUGCAGAAGAGGAAAGUGGAAUUCCAUGUGUAGCGGUGAAAUGCGCAGAGAUAUGGAGGAACACCAGUGGCGAAGGCGACUUUCUGGUCUGUAACUGACGCUGAUGUGCGAAAGCGUGGGGAUCAAACAGGAUUAGAUACCCUGGUAGUCCACGCCGUAAACGAUGAGUGCUAAGUGUUAGGGGGUUUCCGCCCCUUAGUGCUGCAGCUAACGCAUUAAGCACUCCGCCUGGGGAGUACGACCGCAAGGUUGAAACUCAAAGGAAUUGACGGGGACCCGCACAAGCGGUGGAGCAUGUGGUUUAAUUCGAAGCAACGCGAAGAACCUUACCAAAUCUUGACAUCCUUUGACAACUCUAGAGAUAGAGCUUUCCCCUUCGGGGGACAAAGUGACAGGUGGUGCAUGGUUGUCGUCAGCUCGUGUCGUGAGAUGUUGGGUUAAGUCCCGCAACGAGCGCAACCCUUAAGCUUAGUUGCCAUCAUUAAGUUGGGCACUCUAAGUUGACUGCCGGUGACAAACCGGAGGAAGGUGGGGAUGACGUCAAAUCAUCAUGCCCCUUAUGAUUUGGGCUACACACGUGCUACAAUGGACAAUACAAAGGGCAGCGAAACCGCGAGGUCAAGCAAAUCCCAUAAAGUUGUUCUCAGUUCGGAUUGUAGUCUGCAACUCGACUACAUGAAGCUGGAAUCGCUAGUAAUCGUAGAUCAGCAUGCUACGGUGAAUACGUUCCCGGGUCU
rnacentral:rRNA from 1 species